rnacentral:rRNA from 1 species
GACGAACGCUGGCGGCGUGCCUAACACAUGCAAGUCGAACGGGGUCCAUGGGAGCUUGCUCCCGGAAGACCUAGUGGCGAACGGGUGAGUAACACGUGAGAAACCUGCCCUGGAGUGGGGAAUAACUCGGGGAAACUCGAGCUAAUACCGCAUACCCUCGGAUGGUCGCAUGGCCGACCGAGGAAAGAUUUAUCGCUUCAGGAGGGUCUCGCGGCCUAUCAGCUAGUUGGUGGGGUAACGGCCUACCAAGGCAACGACGGGUAGCUGGUUUGAGAGAACGAUCAGCCACACUGGGAUUGAGACACGGCCCAGACUCCUACGGGAGGCAGCAGUGGGGAAUCUUGCGCAAUGGGCGAAAGCCUGACGCAGCAACGCCGCGUGCGGGAUGACGGCCUCGU